GACGAACGCUGGCGGCGUGCUUAACACAUGCAAGUCGAACGGAAAGGCCCUGCUUUUGUGGGUUGCUCGAUUGGCGAACGGGUGAGUAACACGUGAGUAACCUGCCCUUGACUUUGGGAUAACUUCAGGAAACUGGGUCUCAUACCGGAUAGGAUCUCCUGCUGCAUGUUGGGGGUUGGAAAGUUUCGGCGGUUGGGGAUGGACUCGCUGCUUAUCAGCUUGUUUGUGGGGUAGUGGCUUACCAAGGGUUAGACGGGUAGCCGGCAUGAGAGGGUGAACGGCGACAUGGGGACUAAGGGAGGGAGCAGAAGGGUACGGGAGGCAACGGGGGGGAGUAUGGCAGAGUAGGGGGAAGCCAGAGGUGGAAACGCUGCGAGCGGGAUGACGGCCUUCGGGUGGAAAACCGAUGUCGAAGGAGACGAAGAGAGAGUGACGGUAAUGGAUAAAGAAGCAACGGCUAACUACGUG
rnacentral:rRNA from 1 species